GACGUAGGGCGCGAGCGUUGUCCGGAUUUAUUGGGCGUAAAGAGCUCGUAGGCGGCUUGUCGCGUCGACUGUGAAAACCCGCGGCUCAACUGUGGGCUUGCAGUCGAUACGGGCAGGCUGGAGUUCGGUAGGGGAGACUGGAAUUCCCAGUGUAGAGGUGAAAUUCGUAGAUAUUGGGAAGAACACCGGUGGCGAAGGCGGCUCUCUGGACCGACACUGACGCUGAGGCGCGAAAGCGUGGGGAGCAAACAGG
rnacentral:rRNA from 1 species